UCAGACAUGCAAGUCGAACGGUUAAAGCUUUCUUCGGAAAGUGUAUAAAGUGGCGUACGGGAGAGUAACACGUAAGUAAUCUACCCUCGGGUGGGGAAUAACUUAAGGAAACUUAAGCUAAUACCGCAUAAUGCAGUUUACUGUUAAAGCAUUUAUGCGCCUGGGGAGGAGCUUGCGGCAGAUUAGCUAGUUGGUAAGGUAACGGCUUACCAAGGCCACGAUCUGUAGCCGGUCUAAGAGGACGGUCGGUCUCACUGACACUGAAUAACGGGUCAGACUCCUACGGGAGGCAGCAGUCGGGAAUUUUGGGCAAUGGGCGAAAGCCUGACCCAGCAACGCCGCGUGAAGGAUGAAGUCUUUCGGGAUGUAAACUUCGGAAAUAUGGGAAGAAUAAAUGACGGUACCAUAUCUAAGGUCCGGCUAACUACGUGCCAGCAGCCGCGGUAAUACGUAGGGACCAAGCGUUGUUCGGAUUUACUGGGCGUAAAGGGUGCGUAGGCGGCGCUGCAAGUCACUUGUGAAAUCUCCGGGCUUAACUCGGAACGGCCAAGUGAUACUGCAGUGCUAGAGUGCAGAAUGGGCAAGUGGAAUUCUUGGUGUAGCGGUGAAAUGCGUAGAUAUCAAGAGGAACACCUGAGGCGAAGGCGACUUGCUGGGCUGACACUGACGCUGAGGCACGAAAGCCAGGGGAGCGAACGGGAUUAGAUACCCCGGUAGUCCUGGCCCUAAACGAUGAAUGCUUGGUGUCUGGAGUUUAUAUUCUCUGGGUGCCGUCGUUAACGCUUUUAGCAUUCCGCCUGGGGAGUACGCUCGCAAGAGUGAAACUCAAAGGAAUUGACGGGGACCCGCACAAGCGGUGGAGCAUGUGGUUUAAUUCGACGCAACGCGAGACCUUACCUGGACUCGAUGCGAGGGAGUUCGCUUACAGUGAUGUACCGGCACGACCGAGCAGUGCUGCAUGCUGUCGUCAGCUCGUGUCGUGAGAUGUGGGUAGUCCGCACGAGCGCACCCUAUGAUAGUGCACAGUAUGCUGGACUCUAUCAGACUGCUGUGAUAAACGAGAAGUGGAGAUGUCAGUCAUCAUGCCUUAUGUCAGCUCCACUCUAAUGGUGGUACGAUGGUGUGCAUGGACGUGCUAUCUCACUACUCAGUCGAUGAGCUGAACGACUCAUCGUUGAAUGCUA
rnacentral:rRNA from 1 species